CACGAAAAAUGUCUCUAAGAGCAGCAGCUCAGAAGCAACUGUGUCUGAAGAAUCUGAGCAGACUUCUGAGGUGAAAGAUAACUCUGAGCAUGAAGCAAGCUGUUAGAUUUGAAGAUCUGAAGGACCAAUUAAGAAAGCGUUUAUUCAAGAAGCACAAAGUUAGAAGAAUUCAGUUUGUAAUUACAAAUGGGGGUUUAUCUAUAGAAUUGAAUACAUAUGCUUUAAUCCGUCCAACCAAUCCAGGGACUAUUACUUGGCUUGAUUCUGUCUCUAACCUUCCUAUAAAGGUAAUCAAUCUUAAUG